AGACUCAUUAUCUGCUACCAUUGACUUCUCUAAUUUAUCCUUGGCCAGAUCGAUUAGAUGAUCACAUUCCUUAUCAGACAAAAAUCCCUUAUACAAAAAUGCCCUGGGUUGCCAGGAGAGCUGAGUGACUCGUGUUGGAUCGAAAAUGAGCGGAGAUGAAUCCGUCUUCAAUCGAAGCACAGAUCCAGUUAAUUUCUUGUGCAUACGCGUUUCCGGCA
rnacentral:misc_RNA from 1 species